rfam:Dipodomys ordii contig_48822, whole genome shotgun sequence.
GGGAAGGUGGCUCAGUGGUAGAGCGCUUGCAUUGUAUGCAUUAGGCCCUAGGUUCCAUUCCUCCGUACCA